GGGACAGAAUGGGCUAGAAAUUCCUGCUGAGACCAAUAGGGAGGCUUCUGCGUGGGGUGAUCUGGAAGACCAGCACUUUACUGGGCCAAUGAUAUGCCAGGGCUGCUCAGGCCUUCAAUGGAAGUCUGACUCAGAGAUCAAGAGACCAGUUUUGAUUUCAGUUUUGAGGGAGCUGAGAGAGAAGCAGAACAGCUCAGGGAGCCUCUCAUUAACUCGAACUCCUCACAAAGGGAGCCUAUGAAGUGCUGUGGGAUGUAGUGCAUGGGUCAGGCAGUUCUGGCCCUGCAGAGACCAGCAUCCAGAGUGUGAGAAAUCCAACCCAGCACCAGCACUGAAAGCCAUCCGAGACCUCCACAGGACUCCAGACCAGGUAACCAGGAGAGGACCCUGCCCCACCCAAGGAGGUGGACUGAAACUAUGAAAAGGAAGGACAAACACUCCAAGGCACUCUCUCCUUUUGCCUGUCACAUUCACUGUGCCUGAUGCAACAAAGGAAGCCUUUGGUCGGUAAGACUGCUGAAAGCAUGUGAUGUGAAAACUUUGCUUUGAAUUUAAUAUCAUUUAAGUUAGGUGGGGAAACUGAGACAAACUGAGACUACAUUACCUGCCCAAGAUGACAGAGGGAG